GGAGCUCCGGUCCCGGCCCCCCGCACAUGCCCGGCCCGCGGCCCCGCCGGGGCUUCCCCUCACAGCCCUGCCCGCCCUGCGGUGCCUCCCGCGCCCCUUCCCGCGGGAUUCCCGCUGGGAUCCAUCGCAGGCCGCGGGUCCGUGUCCCGCCCUGGGCUGGUGACACCCUCUGCGACCACCGACCGCGUCUCCCCUCCCGUGGUCGCUGCCGGGCUCUGCUCCCUCCAUCGCCCUCCGGCUUCUCCGCUCUCCGGUGCCUCCGUUCUGGAAGCCUCUCACUAUCCAGGCUGCUCCAAGCCCUGUCCAACAUGGCCUUGAGCGCUUCCAGGAGUGGGGCAGCCACAGCUUCUCUGGGCGAUCUCGUCACCCUCACAUUCAGGGAAGUGAGCCCCUCCGCUUCGUCUCCUUUGGCUUUUGCCCACCCGUAGCUGCCCCCACUCUUUUUUAUGCCCCCUUUCUGCGCUCAGUGUGUCACAGCCUGUCUGUUCGCCGCCCUUUCGCUCUCCCCGUGUGUCCCCCUGCCUUUGCAGGGCCCCCGGCCGUGUCCCCGUGAGCAGCCCCACAGGGAGUCCCUGCGGGUCCCCUCCGGCCUCUCGCUGCCGUCCUUCUCCCCGCUCCUCCCGGCGCUGCCUGACUCCAUCGGGGCGGUGUUUUCACGGAGUUCCAGAGCCAGGACUUCUCUGCGGACAGGUGGCAAUGUGCGGUGUCACAGGAGCCGCGGCAGCGCGGUGUCUGAUUUCUGAACUUGGCUGAACUCCCCGGCGCUGACCCUGGACGCUGGAUCAUGCCCACAAAUUCUGAGCUCUGAUAGAAGAUAAUAAAUAGUUGGAGUAUGUGGAGGAAACAGGAAAGUGAAAGCCAGUGGUGAGUGUCAAAGUUCUUGUGGAGGUAACUUGUUAAAAGCAAAGUGUAGGAGACUUAAACCCAGUCCUUAAGGCAGUGCCUUGAAAAAGCAAACUGAGGAAACUAAAAUCAUCCUGCCCACAAAAUGUAGAUUUUCCUGGAAAGCAGAAGAUGCUCUUGAGCAUUGCAGCGAGGAGGCUCUUUAAUGAGCAGUAAUCCCUAAUAUUUUGGGAGGUUGCUGAUGGAUGGUUUAAUGCUGGCUUGGCAGGUUUGCUUUCAAGAUACUGGGAAGGGGAGGGGGGAGAACUUGGGGAAUCCCUGGCUGACUUCCUGCUGCUCAGAAAUGCAGCUUUGUCACUUUAACUCAAUCCAAGUGCCACCCCCAGCCCCCUUCUCAGAGCUGGCACUUGUAACCAUGUCACAGCUUUAAUAAUCGUAAUAAUAAUUACAAAUAAAGCCAAAUCAGGUUGGCUGCACAGCAUCCCAUCCCUUCCUGGCACAAGGAGAAGUGUUGAGGGGAGAGAGCAGCCUGGAUUGACUGGGGCAGGCUGCAGGGAUGGGCUCUGAUAAAUAGGUCACUUUUCCAGCCUGGAUGUUGUUUGCCCUGUCCCUAAUCCAUAGUGUGGUGUUUGGGAUUGCUGGAUUUCUAAACCUCUUGGCUGUUGAUACUUCUGGGAGCUUGGGAAAUGCCAGAAAACCUGGAAUUCAUCAUUCUGGCAAAGCUUUUCUGAGAAUGCCUGUGAACUGUGUGUUCUUUUACAGUCUGGUGAUGGGGAAUAUCUCAGUUUUAUGAGUAAUAGUGAUUAUAUGUGAUGUGGAACCAUUUCUAAGCUUAGAUUUUUAUUCUUAUUUUUCUAAAAUCAGCACGUUUUCCAAGGUCAGGUCUCAAACUUUCUUAAAUUUUAGGAGUUCUGUGUUACAUGUUUAUACUGGGAGGAAAAAAUAUGGCUAAAAACCCAUUAAAAAGGGUCAGGUUAAUAACAAUUAGUACAUGUUGGCUUGUUAGUACUUCUGGAAAGAAGGUCAGUAAGGACUGCAAUAAUUGAAGGAGUUUAAUAGAAAUUAUUUUCCCAUUAAAUUUUAAACGAAACAAAAGGUCUAGGUUAUGUUAUAUAUAUAUCAUGAGAACACAGCAACAAUUACCAGUUUAUUUCUUUGUUAAAACAUAUUUGCCUGCAAUCAGGCUGAGCCAACCAAGUAUUCAUGAUGUACUUAGAUUUUUUUAUUUUUUUUUUUAGGACUCUCCAUGGGUUUUGUAAUUAAAUUAGCAGCCUAUUGACUAAGCAGACAUAUUUGCCUUUUUAUUAUGCAUAAAAGCUGAGUUCUUUUUAGCACAUGGAGUUUUUCUAAAAAAGAAAUUUACAUUUUUGACAGCUAUAUUUAGUCUGAAAUGCUAAUGUAUUUCUGACUGCUUUUUUUAGCUAUGAAGUGAUGCGGCCCAUCUAAAGGUGGAACAAAUCUAUUAAACUUUUUUAACUCUCACUUUUGAUAGGCAACACAAAUAAACCCCUUAAAACACAGCUUUUCCCCUCCUCUGCAGACUCUUUAAAAUAAGUAGGAAGCCUCUAUCAUUAGAAUUAUUUUACCUGCCCACAUAAUAGAGCCCAAAAAAUGGAGAACAAAUGCUGUGUUGUGCUGGGAGAUGUAAAUCAGGUGACAGAUUUUGAUCACAGCUCGGUGGGAUACUAUCAGACUGCUUUGCAUAAAUCAGUGCUCUGUGGCAGCUGGAGCUGAGCAGUCUCUCAGUCCUGAUUAAUUUGUGCCUCCCAUCCAGGGGAGGCCUGGUGGGAUCCACACAGGCACAGUGGAGCACUUUGUAGAAUCGGGGAGUUAAGGCAUGUUUGGGUUGUUUUAGCUAAAUGAGGAUUGUCUCAGUGUAGCCCAAGUCAUGAAUUAAAAAAAGGAGGGCUGUGAAAAAGGCCAUUGCUGCAGCAUUAUGAACAAUUCUGAUAAUCUGUGUGAGUGUGGCACUCCAGGCACUUGGCUUUGUGCUUCCUGUCAGCUGAAGGAUUCUGCCUCCACUGCUUUAUUUCCAGUUUUGUUGGAAAAAAAUUGUAUGAGGGAAGUUUUUAGCAGUGCUGCUGAUCCUGUGUGCUGGUGGUAUUCAAUGAGGUGCCUUCAGGAUCAGUGUUAGGGAAUGGGACAAAAAGGAAUUUUUUGUUUCUACUUUUCCUUUAGUUUCACCUUUUAUCCUUUCCUGUGGCUUGUGUUUCUCUCUGGUAAAAUAACAUUUCUUUCCCUGUUGUCCUUCAUUCCUUCCUUCCUUCCUCCAUGUGCUCUGUCAUUCCCACCUUUUGUUCCUCUUCUCCACCUUCCUGCUUUUGUAUUCCUUUGUAUUUUCAGUAGCAAAAAUGUCUCUGGUGGUGCCUUCCCAUUGCCUGAGUGCUCUUGACAGACCCACAGAAUUCCCAGUCAAUCUGCUUCCAUCCCUCCUGAGCGUGGUGGCCUUGGGAUGGAGCAGCUGUGCAAGGGCAGCAGUGUCACCUCACCCUUUCUGCUGCCCCUCUCUCCAGCCCUCAGCCACUUUUGGGAUAGCAGCAUUGUCCAAAAAUUCCUCGAGCUCUGCUCAUGGCAGUGCUGUGCUCACACCUUCAGGAAAUUAAAGGAUUUGGUUUAAUUUUGUGUAUUUUGUAGACUUGCACCAGGAUUUCUACCUAGGGGAAAAAAGAUAUAUAUAUAUAAUUGAGACUGCACUGGUCAGAUAGUUGCACUAAAUAAUUAUUGUAGGUCCCUUCCAAUUGAAAUAAUUCUAUUUGUAUAAUAACCCCCAUGUUUUCAAUAGAACUGUCCAAGAACACGAAGCAUGACUGAAACUGAAGACACAACCUUUCACUUCUUUCAUGUUUGUAGCUAAUUUUGAGGCUCUUAAGUACCACGUUUCACGGUGAUAGAUGUGACAGGUUUCAGUGAUACUCAAAUAUUUUCCUUGAAUAUUCUUCCAGUACCUCAUUUAGUUUGUCUCCUUUCUUAUUAAAAAAUGGGAAGUGAUUGUGUUCUGCUACUGCUUUAUAAUUUCGAGAUUUCUUCUGCAGUUGUUCCAUUUUACAAAUACUGAUUUAGAUUUUUGUGCAAGUCUUUGGAGGCGAGGGAUGUUAUCAUCACUUCGUUGGGCCAUGUAAAAUAACGUGUAAAAAGCUUUCAAACCCAAGGUGUGAUCUCAUUUGUGAAUGACACUUAAAGCUGCCUGGGAACGAAAGCCUUUGUGUGGAGGUCAUUGCUGUGGGAUCAGGACCCAGCCCCAAUCCACGCUGCAGCCUGGGCAGGGGGAUGCUGCUGCAGUCCUGCCCUCUCUGACACGGUCAGGCUGUAAUUUGAAUUUCCUGUGCAGGGUUAAAGGCAUGCCAGGAGCUCACUGGGCCAGUGAGCAGGAUCUGCAGCAGGUCAGAGCGCCUGGCUGCGCUGCUGUAACAGUUUCUGCUGCUCCAGGGUCACAGCUUGGGGGAGAACCUUGUAGCAGGUUUGGAGGAGAGGCUUGGAGUGUUACAGGGAAACGGCUUCAGGCAAGAGGAUUCUCGCAGCCCUGGGUUUUUGAGGUGCACAAUCCAUCACGCAGGAGUCCUGCUGGGAUGGAUUGUGAUGGGGAGAGAAAUCUGUGUGGAGAGGGAAGUGAUGCUAUAAAUCAGCAACAAAAAAAAUUGUCUGGGAGUUGGGGAAGGCUUGGACACCUGGAGUGGUCAGGGAGGUUUUCCAAAGGAUUUGAGUGAUGGUCUGGGAAGCAGGAGGAGUCAUUGCAGGGGGUGGGUGAUGCUGAGCAGGUGAAAAGCAGCAGUGAAAAUCGAGAAGAGACUUGCUGAGCUCAUCUCCUCUAACUACUGAUUGGAUUUCUUUUCCUGGUGGUUUUUGCAGCAUUUCUGAGAGCUUCUCCCUUCACCUGGGCCAGCCUGUGGUUUGCAGGCUCUACUAAUUACAAGGCAGCAGGAGCUGAACCAUCCUAACUGGGCUUGCUUUUCAGCCAGAGCUGAGCUUUGACAAAGACCGGGGCUGUACCUUUUAUGUGUGGAAAUCAGAUGGGUCUGCAGCCUUCAGCUGUCAGUGAGGGACCAGUUAAGCUCUGUCACGUGCAUCCAUUUCAUGCAUUCCUUCUGGAGAGGCAGAUGCAGGUUGGCUGUUGUGUUUAAAAACCACCCUCUUUGCUUUGGUACCGAGUCUCAAUAUCAGGGCUGGUAAACUCAUUUAAAAAUAAUAAUGUAAAUGUUUUAGGUUAUGUCCUAGACAAGGGCACUGUUAGAAAAAAAAAAACUCCGUGUCAUUUUUUGCCAUUAAACUGUUCUAAAAAGGAACAGGUUGUGACAAAAUACGGACAAAAUAACCUAAAUUGUUGGCAGAGCUAACAUGUAUUGGAUACCAAAAGGCUCUUUGUAGUGUGGACAAGUCUUACCUAUUAAUUCAUAGCUUCCAUUUAUUUCAGCUGGAGAUUGGAUGGGGAAGGGAGGGCUUUGGAAUGUGCUUUAUUCCCCCUUCUCGUGCAUGUUUGAGGAGUUCUGUCAGAGGGCUUAUUUUUAAAACUUUGAAAUUCUAGGGAUUAUUUUUUUUCCACUCCAUCUCUUUGGUGUCUUGCAAGUAUUGAUGAGUGAGGCUUCCAGUGAGUUGUCACUUGCUCUGGAGAACCUCCCAAAUCCCUGGCAGCAAGGAAUGCUGUUCUUCCCUCCACCUCUGGCAUCGCCCUUUGUUUUCUUAGCAAAAUUCUUGCAUUUUUCUGAUCAAAAGAGAAGCUUUCAGUUGUUUUUUGUCUGCUUGGUGCUGCAGACAGUGUGGAAAACCUGGCUGAUGAAGGAAUUCCUUAAAAUGGAACCUGUGCUUGGCUUCAGUCUCCAUUAAUAGAUUGGGUUUUUUACAUAACUUUGCAUAACAUUUGAAUAAUCUGGCAUUGUUGGUUUUGAAAGCCUUGAAGGGCUGUCAGCAGUCACCAAAAUCAUUCUUUCAGUAGUUUGUGUACUUGUCUCAUAUUAAAUGUUUUCCUUAAGCACUCUCCUUCAGAGAGUUAUUUUACAGACUAAAUCCCAUUGAAAGCUGUAUCUUUUUUUGCCUCUUGGAGGGCACUAAAGACCAAUGUCUGGGGCCUGUAGUGAUUUUUUUUUUCUUGUUCAGAACAUCUGUGCUGUCUCUUGGGAUUUGGUUCCCUUUGGACUUGCAUUGCUCAAUUCUCAUCUAUUUAUUUUGCACAGUUUACAGCUGUUGGGGCUAAAAGUUUCCUGAUGCAUUUGAAAGGAAUAUUUGCAAUGUGUUGUUAAGCCAAAAUAGUGAUGAAUUUGUGUUUUCAUUGUGCUCCCUGUUAAGAUUUCUAAAUUCUACAAACAGAGUAAUAAACCUACUAAAGUGCUUGUA